CGGGAUCCGUCCCGUAAAGGAAUGUAGCUCAAAAUUUGAGCUGAACCUUGGU
rfam:Candidatus Methanosphaerula palustris E1-9c, complete genome.